AUGGAGAGGCGCGCGGGGCGGGUGGAAACGCGUGCUCGCCCCGCACCUCCGCAUCCGCGAGGGGAGGCUCCUGCCCCGCGCCGCAGCCAGUCCCCGCGCGCUCGCCCCCGCGCCUCCCUCCCGCGCCCCCGCUCCUCCGGCCGCCCCCGCGCCCCCCGCCGCCUCCUCCGCCCGUGGACCGCUGCGCGCUGCUGCCCCGGGGGGCUGGCGUUUCCACCUGUCACCGCGCCGCCGCCGCCGCCGCCCAAGUUUUCAGGGAACUUACCUGGCGCGUCGUGUGCCUCAGGCUCUUCCCCAUGGCCGCCGCCCCCUCCUCCCGCCAGCUCCCCGGGCCCCCCGCGCCCCCCGCCCAGCCCUGCGGCCGCCGGGCCCGAUGAACGCCAGCAGCGGGGACUCGGGGGGUGGGAGCCCCGCGCGCAGCCGCCCGCACCCGAGCGCUCCUGCUUCCGAGCAGCCACGCAGCGUCCGUCCGGGGCAGGAGCAUUGCGGAUGCGGCGCGGGGCCGGCGCGGGGCUCCGGGCGCUCUCGGGGGUCGUGAGCGCCGCGCCCCGCGCCCCCGCACGCCCCCCACCGGCCCGCGCGCCCCGCCGGGGCCAUGCAGUCUCUCAUGUCGCCGGUGACCAAGGCGAUCCUGGUGGCCCUGUUCAGCUUCGCCAUCCUCCUCAUCCUCUACGUGAUUCUCUGGUACAUCUGCCGCGAUGUGGACUGCGACCACGGCAUCUGAGCGCCGCCGGACCCCCGGGCCGCCACGCGGGGGGCGUCCGCGGCGGGAGGGCCCUGGGGACUGAGCGGUCCCGCGGUGCCCCCAGCUUGGCGCUGGAGACCCCCGCCCCGGGCCCCGCCGCCGGCCCUGCACCGCCUCCUGGCCUUGACCUUCAGCGACGCGCCGGGGAGAGCGGAGUUUCCCUGUUGUUACCCAGACUGGAGUGAAAUGGCGUGAUCUCGGCUCACCACAACCUCCACCUUCUGGGUUCAAGCAAUUCUCCUGCCUCAGCCUCCCGAGUAGCUGCGAUUACAGGCACGCGCCACUGUGCCCAGCUAAUUUUUGUAUUUUUAGUAGAGACGGGGUUUCACCAUGUUGACCAGGAUGGUCUCGAUCUCUUGGCCUCGUGAUCCACCCGCCUCGGCCUCCCAAAGUGCUGGGAUUAUAGGCGUGAGCCACUGCGCCCGGCCAUGUAUGUAUAUUUUUAUAUUUACUUAAAUAUAUGAAGUUACAGUUUCAGUAUUUUUAAGUUAAUUAAAUAUGUACAAAUUUUAUUAAAAUGUUUUCCUAUAAAUAUAUUUAAUCACUAUAUCAAAUAGUCUAAUUUCAACAUAU
rnacentral:lncRNA from 1 species